rnacentral:lncRNA from 10 species
CCCUCGGAGACCCGGUGUAGCAGGAAGAGCCCAUUGAUGGGGAAGGUGGGGGCGGUUGUGCACCUCAAGCAGAGGAACCAGGAGUACGGAAGGAGCAUGAAAGUGGACAAGGAACGUGACCAUUGAAGCACCACAGGGAGGGGUUCAGGCCUCCGGAUGACUGCAGGCAGGCCUGGGUAACAUCCAGCCUCCCACAAGAAGCUGGUGGAGCAGAGCGUUCCCUGACUCCUCCAAGGAAAGGAGACUCCCUUUCCCGGUCUGCUCAGUAACGGGUGCCUUCCCAGACACUGGCGUUACCGCUUGACCAAGGGGCCCUCAAGCGGCCCUUAUGCGGGCAUGACAGAAGGCUCCCCUCUUGCCUUCUAUUCACUUCUCACAAUGUCCCUUCAGCACCUGACCCUAUACCUGCCGGUUAUUCCUAGGUUAUAUUAUUAAUGCAACAGAGUAAUAUUAAAAGCUAAUGAUUAAUAAUGUUUAUAAUAAUGAUGGAUAAUUGUUCAUGAUCAUCGCUGUAUCUAAUUUGUAUUAUGACUAUUCUUAUUCUAUUUUCUUUAUUAUACUGAAA